GGAGGGAUGCCCGAGUGGUUAAAGGGGGCAGACUGUAAAUCUGUUGGCUAUGCCUACGCUGGUUCGAAUCCAGCUCCCUCCACCA
rnacentral:tRNA from 1 species